CAGUGCAGGGCCCGGAAGACAUCAAGCUGUUUCUUCAGGGAACACAUCAGCUCUACCAAGAUUCCCUAAAGGAGUACCAGAACCAAGUUCCACAGCACCUGAACCUGUCCUCCAUCCAGACCUCUCCAGCCAUUCGUCAGUACCUGCAAAGUUUCCAUGAUGUGGUGAAUGAGGAGCCAAUCUACUGGGUGGUUUCUCUGCUGCCUAGAGCGAUGCUCAGACCAUACCUGGCAAAGCACCUCCCCCUGGGGGAGCAGGCCAGACCAGGCUCCAGCCCCUGCCUCCUCCCCUGGCUAAGCCUCUUCCCGUGCCCCUGCUACCAGUUGCCCACUAAGUGGAGUGGAGAGGAUCAUGCGGACAAGCAGAUAGGCAAGACUCCGACAUAUAAGUCUCUUGUGGAGAAGUACCAGGCUGUGAUUGACAUCUACAAGGCUGUCAACAUCUUCAGAGUCAACAUGAUCAAUGAGAAGGCGCUCUUCACCUCCAGCUGGUUUCCCACUGGUGACGAGGAAGCAGUAGAAGACCCAAACAGCUUUUUGCUGUCUGUAGAAUCUGGUCCGGACUUAAAAGUAAGACUGUAGCAGAGCUGCUGUGGAAUGCUGGGAGCUGUUUAUGCGUGUCAUUUUGGGUGUAAUGUUGUUUUACAAUUAAGAUUAGGACCUGAAGUCCUCUGCCCCCAUCAGGAACUUUUGUUGGUCCCAUGAUGACAAAGAUAACUUUUGACUUGGGGGUUAAGUUUAAGUCAACCUUACAAUCUAUGUUAGAAUUAGUUUACGUUUGGGAAUUAUAGGUAGGUUUGACUAACUUUAGGCAUAAGAAUAAGAUUAAUGUGGGAAUGAUAAUCAGUCAUCCUUCUUAAUUAGAAUACUUUAUGAACGAAACAUAUGUGGAAUUUACAGCCAUAUAUUCUCUGAAAUCCAGUUUGGUUAAUUUUCACAUUUUGUUUCCUAAUACUGAAUAAAGAUCUCUAGGCAUAGC
ensembl:lncRNA